rnacentral:rRNA from 1 species
GUCGAGAAUCUUUCACAAUGGGGGCAACCCUGAUGGAGCGACGCCGCGUGGAGGAUAAGGUCUUCGGAUUGUAAACUCCUGUCAUGCGUGAACAAGGUUGCUUGGUUAAUACCUGGGCAAAUUGAUGGUAACGCAAGAGGAAGAGACGGCUAACUCUGUGCCAGCAGCCGCGGUAAUACAGAGGUCUCAAGCGUUGUUCGGAAUCACUGGGCGUAAAGGGUGCGUAGGUGGCGUGGUAAGUCAGAUGUGAAAGCCCGGGGCUGAACCUCGGAACUGCAUCCGAUACUGCCAUGGUAGAGGACUGGAGAGGUGACUAGAAUUGUCGGUGUAGCAGUGAAAUGCGUAGAUAUCGAGAGGAAUACCAAAGGCGUAGGCAGGUCACUGGACAGUUACUGACACUGCGGCACGAAGGCAAGGGGAGCGAACGGGAUUAGAAACCCGUGUAGUAC